AUAAGCUCCACCUCGAGUUCCAUUAAGGUAUUGAAUGCACAGUCUUUGUUGGGGGAAGCAUUUCUUUUUUUCUUUAAUGGAGAGUGAAGUUGGCCGCCUCGAAGGCCAGGAGGACUCUGCUCCUGUCAGGAAAGAUACUCAAGCUAUCAUCUGUAAACAUGAACAACAUUUACUGCUGGAUGGGGAAUCACCAGCGCAUGGAAGAACUCUUGGUGGAUGCGUUGUCUGGAGCCUGCUCACUCCGCCACGUUACUCAGCAAUGCUUUCCCUGUUUCUGGAUACCACGCUCCCUUCUGAACGAUGAAGCAUGAAGCACCACGCUCCAUAAAAGACCCUCCCUCUCCCCGUGGGAGGGCUCAGGAAGCUAUGAGACCUGAGUAUGUACUGCCUUAAAUCAACAGCAACAGAAGGAUCUGGUCCCAAGGAAAUACUCAGAGAAGCAAAAGCAGCAACUUUUCAAUCUGCAGGUCAGAACCAACAGGAAUAAAACUCUCCAGGGACAGAUGGCAACAAAACCUGCCAAGCAACUCUACUCAAGUGACUGAAGCAGGCGCCGCUGCCGGGGAGGAACCGAUGGGAGAGAAAGGCCAGGCUGGGCCCUGACACCGCCAGGACUCCCCCUCCAGGAACCAGGGGGCUUCUCCUGGAAGCUUAAAGGAAAAAAUACUUAAAUUAUGGUAAUAAGAAUGCACCUGGAGCUCAAGAUAUGAGCCAGCUUCGAGCCACAAAGUCUGGACUUGUCGUGAGGGCAGUCAUUUGCAUCUUCAUUUUUCUUUACUUAAGGAAUCCAACUCCUGCAGAAUCAGAAGAAGAACCUGCCCAACCAGAAGUAGUAGAAUGUGGCUUUUACCCAGAUGAACUGUGUUCCGCUUUAUUUGAAGGGAAAGGGGCGGCCCCCUAAAUUGCAAAAUUUUGCAAAACCCCUCAUAAAUCUGAAAUACAUGCUCAUUUACACACACCAGGAAACUGCUCCAGGAUUUCUCGGGGGCUGCAUUUCAUAACCAGACCCCUGUCUGCAGAAGAGGGCGAUUUCUCUUUGGCAUAUAUUAUAACUAUUCAUAAGGAGCUGGCCAUGUUUGUGCAGCUUCUCAGAGCUAUUUAUGUACCUCAAAAUGUUUAUUGUAUUCAUGUUGAUGAAAAGGCCCCAAUGAAGUAUAAGACUGCUGUGCAAACCUUGGUUAACUGUUUUGAAAACGUUUUUAUUUCCUCCAAGACAGAGAAGGUGGCUUAUGCUGGCUUUACAAGACUACAGGCAGAUAUUAAUUGUAUGAAAGUUCUAGUGCAUUCUAAAUUUCAAUGGAACUAUGUCAUCAAUCUUUGUGGACAGGAUUUUCCCAUCAAAACCAACAGAGAAAUCAUACACUACAUCAGAAGCAAAUGGAGUGAUAAAAAUAUUACUCCUGGAGUAAUCCAACCAUUGCACAUUAAAUCCAAGACAAGUCAAAGUCAUCUCGAAUUCGUUCCUAAAGGAAGUAUCUAUGCACCUCCAAAUAACAGAUUCAAAGACAAACCACCCCAUAACUUAACCAUUUAUUUUGGAAGUGCUUACUAUGUACUUACAAGGAAGUUUGUAGAGUUCAUACUGACUGACAUCCAUGCAAAAGACAUGCUUCAGUGGUCCAAAGACAUCCGCAGCCCAGAGCAACACUACUGGGUGACCCUGAACCGACUAAAAGAUGCUCCAGGUGCUACACCAAACGCUGGCUGGGAAGGAAAUGUUCGAGCCAUUAAGCGGAAAAGUGAGGAAGGAAAUGUUCAUGAUGGAUGUAAAGGCCGCUACGUCGAAGACAUCUGCGUAUACGGACCAGGAGACCUGCCGUGGCUCAUUCAGUCGCCUUCUCUGUUUGCCAACAAAUUCGAACCCUCGACAGACCCGCUUGUGGUUACCUGCUUAGAGCGGCGGCACAGACUUCAAGUGCUGAGGCAGGCAGAAGUUCCUAUAGAGCCACACUGGCAUUUUCAACAGCAGAGUCAUUUCAAUAUGAGACUGAACCGCUAGGGAGUGUUUGCUUUCUUACUGGUAUCAUUCUGUUUCCUUGACUUGAAACAAGAGAACAUUGAACC